rnacentral:misc_RNA from 1 species
CAUCCUCAACCUUCUUGGUCUUUUCUUUGAUCAGGAAGGCUUGGAAUUUGGAGGUUCUUGCUGGCUUCCCCUUUGAAGCCAGCUCCUCUUAAACGAAUUAGUGGGGUCCACUUCUGCCGAUCCUUGACAUGAUAAGAUGUUUCUGUGUCUUGGUAUAGAGCAAAGAAAACCUGCUUCUAACCGUCUCUUAGGAGACAUCGUUUUGAC